rnacentral:lncRNA from 1 species
AGCCUUGGGCCAGAGUUCCAGGGGCUCUGGGAGUGGCUGCCAGGGCUUGUUUACUAAGUAAACAAGAAGAGGGCCUGGGAGGAGAGUCUGAUGAGCAAGGGGAAGGUAGCCAAGGAUGGAGUGAAAUACAAGGUGAGGAAAUUAAAGUUGAGAGACACUAAGCAACUGCCCCAGGCUUCCAUGGCAGAAUGAGGAUUCAGGUCGAGCCUGUCUAACUGUUAACCCCAUCCCUUUCCAUCACAUUUUUAUGCCUACCUAGCAUGGGCCUGGUUGGCAGGGCUCUUGAAGUAGAGCUUCUCAAAUGCAACUGCACCUGUGCAUCUUGCUAAGAUGUGGAUUCUGAUGCAGGACUUCUGGGUGGGGGCUGAGACUCCAUUUCUAACAAGUCCCCAAGUCAUUCCAAUGCUGCUGGCCUGCAAAGCACAAUGUGAGAAGCAGGAGUUCAGCCCCCGCCCCCCUCAUUUUGCAGCAGAAGAAAUUGAGGUUGUUGAAGUCAAGUGACUUACUUCAAGUGGCAUGGCACGUUAGUGGAAGAGGCAGGAUACAGACAUGGGAAUGCUAAUUUCCAGUCCAGAGCCUUGCCUUUACCAUGUGUGUCAGUUACUAGGCUAUUGUCUCUUUGCUCCAACCCCAUCCUUCCGCACUUAGCUUUGGAUGCUGGGGUUGUGCUAUGGACUGAAUAUUUGUGUCCCUCCCCAAAUCCAUGUGUUGAAGCCUAAUCCUCAGUGGGAUGGAAUUAGGAGGUGGGGAAGUAAUUAGGUCAGGAGAGUGGAGCCCUCAUAAGUGGGAUUAGUGCCUUCAUAAGAGACAAGAGACAGCUUGCAUCCUCGUGCUCUGCAAUCCACUGUAUGAGCGUAGAAUGAGAAGACAGCUGUCUGCAAAGAAGAGUGUCCUCAUCAGACUCUAGAUCAGCUGGCACCUUGAUCUUGGACUUCUCAGCCUCCAUAA